GAAUCCCACAGCUUCAGUCACAAAUCUGUGUUAGGACCCCUGAUCAUCGUGGAUCCAUCUGACUCAAAGUCUCACGGCAAAUCAGAGGAAAGCCCCAGUGUUAGCUGAUGGAGACUAUGAGCAUGCACAACAGAUUGCCAGGAGCAGCAUGACCUCAGCCUCCUGACUGACAAGAUGUUGGGACACCAGCUUUGCAUGACUUCGACUUUAAAUUGUCUGCAGACUAAUUUAACCCUCUGUACAAAUAAAACCUAUUGUAAAUUGCCGA